GAAGACAUCGAGCGAAGAAACUGUCGCUGUGACCGCACCGACCAAAACAACGCCCCCAAAGCUUCAAGGUCUGUUACGUGUUUUAGCGGAUAUGAACGAGGUAGAAGCCGUAGCUUUUGGAAUUUCGAUGCCCAUGAUUUUGUACUUCACAUUUCUCAUGCUGGCUCUCCUUCUGCGCUUCAUCGUCCUUUGGAUUAGAGGACUAAACAAAAAAGAGGUGGAACCAGACCAAGCACGCCCUCGGCGGAUGUAUGAGCUAGUAAGAAUCUGAUGACUGUAGAACCACACCAACGACGAAAAAAGCCGUAAAAUGUGUAAUUUGCAUUCGUUGCCAAUUUUACAUGAGUGAAAGGCAUGUCAAUUGAGACAUCACUCUCCUUGUAUAUAACCAGUAUAUUGUCUUCUCUCUCUGCCCCUUUCUCACCUUCUCUUUUCCGCUUUAAAUCCUUUUCUCGCCCCUGUCAGUCAUGAUCUAUUCCGUCAAAUUUAGCUUCAAUGUGAUACUGCGCUGAU